rnacentral:rRNA from 1 species
UUUCCGUGCUGGACCGUGUACAAGUCCUUUGGAACAAGGCGUCAUAGAGGGUGAGAAUCCCGUCUACGACACGGACUACCAGUGCUUUGUGAUACACUCUCAACGAGUCGAGUUGUUUGGGAAUGCAGCUCAAAAUGGGUGGUAAAUUCCAUCUAAAGCUAAAUAUAGGCGAAAGACCGAUAGCGAACAAGUACCGUGAGGGAAAGAUGAAAAGCACUUUGGAAAGAGAGUUAAACAGUACGUGAAAUUGUUGAAAGGGAAACGCUUGAAGUCAGUCGCGUCUUUCGGGAAUUCAACCAGGCUUUUGCCUGGUGUACUUUCCUGUUGGACGGGCCAGCAUCAGUUUUGGCCGCCAGAAAAAGGUGAGGGGAAGGUGGCACCUCCGGGUGUGUUAUAGCCUCUCAUCGUAUGUGGCGGCUGGGACUGAGGACCGCAGCAUGCCUUUAUGGCCGGGGUUCGCCCACGUAACAUGCUUAGGAUGCUGGCGUAAUGGCUUUAAGCGACCCGUCUUGAAACACGGACCAAGGAGUCUAACAUGCCUGCGAGUAUUUGGGUGGCAAACCCAUAUGCGGAAUGAAAGUGAACAGUUGGGACUUCUGUAUGGAAGGCACCGACGCCCGGACCAGACCUAUUGUGACGGAUCCGAGGUAGAGCAUGUAUGUUGGGACCCGAAAGAUGGUGAACUAUGCCUGAGUAGGGUGAAGCCAGAGGAAACUCUGGUGGAGGCUCGUAGCGAUUC